ACCGGGAAGAGCUCAAAUUUGAAAUCUGGCGUGCUCAGUGCGUCCGAGUUGUAAUCUAUAGAGUCGUUUUCCGUGCCGGACUGUGUCCAAGUCCCUUGGAACAGGGUAUCAAAGAGGGUGAUAAUCCCGUACUUGACACAAUGACCGGUGCUCUGUGAUACGUCUUCUACGAGUCGAGUUGUUUGGGAAUGCAGCUCAAAAUGGGUGGUGAGUUCCAUCUAAAGCUAAAUAUUGGCGAGAGACCGAUAGCGAACAAGUACCGUGAGGGAAAGAUGAAAAGCACUUUGGAAAGAGAGUUAAACAGUACGUGAAAUUGUUAAAAGGGAAACGAUUGAAGUCAGUCGUGACUGAGAGGCUCAGCCGGUUCUGCCGGUGUAUUCCCCUCAGUCGGGUCAACAUCAGUUUUGUUCGGUGGAUAAGGGCAGUUGGAAGGUGGCACCCUCGGGUGUGUUAUAGCCAGCUGUCGCAUACAUCGGAUGAGACUGAGGAAUGCAGCUCGCCUUUAUGGCCGGGGUUCGCCCACGUUCGAGCUUAGGAUGUUGACAUAAUGGCUUUAAACGACCCGUCUUGAAACACGGACCA
rnacentral:rRNA from 1 species